rnacentral:rRNA from 1 species
GAUGAACGCUGGCGGCGUGCCUAAUACAUGCAAGUCGAGCGAACAGAUGAGAAGCUUGCUUCUCUGAUGUUAGCGGCGGACGGGUGAGUAACACGUGGGUAACCUACCUAUAAGACUGGGAUAACUCCGGGAAACCGGGGCUAAUACCGGAUAAUAUUUUGAACCGCAUGGUUCAAUAGUGAAUGACGGUUUCGGCUGUCACUUAUAGAUGGACCCGCGCCGUAUUAGCUAGUUGGUAAGGUAAUGGCUUACCAAGGCGACGAUACGUAGCCGACCUGAGAGGGUGAUCGGCCACACUGGAACUGAGACACGGUCCAGACUCCUACGGGAGGCAGCAGUAGGGAAUCUUCCGCAAUGGGCGAAAGCCUGACGGAGCAACGCCGCGUGAGUGAUGAAGGUCUUCGGAUCGUAAAACUCUGUUGUUAGGGAAGAACAAAUUUGUUAGUAACUGAACAAGUCUUGACGGUACCUAACCAGAAAGCCACGGCUAACUACGUACCAGCCGCCGCCGUAA